AUGGUUUCCGAUCCAUCUUUACGACUGAUUUUUUCUUCCCUAAAUCUACUUUUUCAACCCUUUUUUUACUCCCAGGUUUUAAUUUCUGCUGGAAUCAAGAAAAGUUUCGAUUUUUAGUUUGUUGGUGAGUAAAUGGAAUGUGAUCCUCGAGAGGCGCUGGUGAAGCCUGUUGAAGAAGAGGAGGUUGAUUUGAAGACGAAGCUAUGGGUGGAGAACAAGAAGAUGUGGGUGGUCGCUGGACCGGCCAUUUUCACUCGAUUUUCCACCUUUGGAAUAAAUGUCAUCAGCCAAGCAUUUGUUGGCCACAUCGGUGCUACUGAGCUUGCUGCCUAUGCUCUCGUUUUCACUCUCCUUACUCGAUUUGCCAACGGAUUGCUGUUGGGAGCGGCCAAUGGAUUGGAAACGCUAUGCGGGCAAGCUUAUGGCGCGAGGCAGUAUCACAUGCUUGGAAUAUAUCUCCAAAGAUCAUGGAUUGUUUUGAUUUGCCUCACAACUGCACUAGUGCCUGUCUAUAUUUUUGCAACCCCUAUCCUGAUAGCCCUCGGGCAGGAUGAAGUUAUUGCAAAAGAGGCGGGGAAGAUCGCCCUCUGGUUCAUCCCGGUCAUAUACUCUUUCAUUGUGUCAUUUACCUGCCAGAUGUACUUACAAGCGCAGAGCAAGAACAUGAUAAUAACGUAUUUGGCGGUGUUAUCCUUGACAAUCCACAUUUUCUUGUCGUGGCUUUUAACCGUGAAGUAUCACUAUGGUAUAACUGGUGCAAUGGUGUCCACUAUCUUGGCCUACUGGAUUCCAAACAUCGGCCAGCUAAUUUUUGUCACUUGUGGAGGAUGCCCUGAAACUUGGACUGGCUUUUCAACCUUAGCCUUCAAAGAUCUUUGGCCAGUUAUCAAAUUUUCCAUGUCAUCCGGUGCCAUGCUCUGUCUUGAGCUCUGGUACAAUGCCAUACUUAUCCUUUUGACUGGAAAUUUGAAGAAUGCUAGAGUCGCGGUUGAUGCUCUUUCGAUCUGCCUUAACAUCAAUGGCUGGGAAAUGAUGAUAUCGCUUGGUUUCUUGGCUGCCGCAAGUGUACGGGUCUCAAAUGAGCUUGGAAGGGGGGACCCUAAAGCUGCAAAGUUUUCUGUUGUGAAUAUUGUCGUAACUUCAACGUGCAUAGGACUAGUGCUUUUUGUAUUUUUCCUAUUCUUCCGUGGACGUCUAGCUUACAUAUUCACAAACGAAGAAGAUGUGGCUGUGGAAGUUGCUCACUUGUCUCCUCUGCUGGCAUUCUCAAUUCUCAUGAAUAGUGUUCAACCAGUUCUUUCUGGUGUCGCAGUUGGGGCUGGGUGGCAGAGCAUUGUGGUAUACGUCAACCUAGGAUGUUAUUACUUGAUAGGAAUUCCUAUCGGGGUCGUGCUGGGUUAUCUCAUCAAGCUGGAAGUCGAGGGAGUGUGGAUUGGAAUGCUGGUGGGGACGUUGUUUCAAACUAUAGUACUAAUGAUCAUAACCACGAGAACAGAUUGGGAGAAACAGGUCUCAGCUGCACGGACGAGACUGAAACGGUUUUUCGUGGAAGAUCAACCAAAUGAUGGGUCAUCGGCCUGAUUAAUGAUGGGUUUCUGGGAUUUGGAGUCGUUCUUCUUUCUGGAAUAUGUGUUGAAUCAUAUACUCUCAUGCGGGACGCAUCUUUCCAUAUUCCAAAGGAAAAAAAGUAUUUCUGGUGCAGUUGGUAUGAGGUGUAACGCAGAGGUCACAAGUUCAAAUCUCUGUUAAAUUAUCCAAAUCCUUGUCCCACAUCGGCUUGGUAAUGAUCCUAACUUCUCUAUAUAAGUAUGGACAACCCCCUACCCUAUGAGACCUUUUUAAGGGGUGAGUGGCCCAUUUCUAAUAUGGUAUCAGAGCAGGGCCCAAGUCGAUGAUGGUUUAUCUCUUUAUCUCUUCACUUGCCUACCCACGUGAUGGAAGUCCGAUGUGUCAUUCCAGCCCACACGUGAGGAGGCAUGGUAAAUUCUCCAAAUCCUUGUCCCACAUCGGUUUGGUGAUAAUCCUAGCUUCUUUAUAUAAGUGUGGAUAACCCUCCCCUCUUUGAGACCUUUUAAGAGAUGAGUGGCCUAUUUCUAAUAUUCUGCGCGACAUAAUCCUCUUUUUCUACAUAUGCUAGUGUUUUUUUUCUCUUUUCUUUA